AUUUCAUAUUAAUGUAUAUUUAUAUUUAAAUUAUUUAAACUUUAUUUGAAAGGUGAGUUUUUUUGUUUGCAUGUGCACGCAUACACACACACGCACACACACACCAAUUCUAUGCAGAACAAAUAUGAUGACUUUUGUUAAAGAAAUCACACUAUUAGAUUAAAAUUCCUUCCAUAUUUAAUGGAUUCUCUCCUAGCUUAUUGCUUGAAAGACAAGCAAACUUUCGACUGGUGUAAGCUAGUCAGCUCCCCUUAAACUCUCUUUGCGUUUGCUUCUCAUUUUGGGGGUAGGGUAGGGUUGGGGUGGGUGCCAUGCCUGCAGCUUCUCAUAACUAAAUAAUUUAAAUUUACUUUUACAGUAGUUCUAAAAUAGUUAGAACUCACACAGAUAGCUUCUUAAGGGAGAUCAACGGAUGUACAUUCUUUUUAUUGAUUACACAUUUUCAUCCUCAAAAUUGCCAUAAAAAUGACCUUUUUCAAAGGUUCAGUGGAAACUGAGCACCGAGGACAUGGCAUCUGCCAAUACAAGUGACCUUACACUAAAUACCUGUGUUUUCCCUAGAGCACUUGGCACAAUCAUAGAUCUCAAGAAGUGUUUGGAAAAUGGGCUAAAAUUGAAUGUUCUGCCUAAGAGGUCAAGAACGGAUGCCACAAGGCACAACGGGGUAGAGGCAGUGAAGAAAGCCAUUUAAUAUUCCUCCGCUUCCAUCACCAAUCCCACUUCAAAACAUAAGAGGUUUAUCAACAUCUCUGAUCCAAGUUAAUCAGCUAAUGAUUGUGAAAGAGACUUUGGGAGCACUAUGAUCCAAACCACCAUUUAAAAAGUGAUAAAACUAUGAGGUCAUUACACGAAUCAGAUGGCCUAAGAUCCCAGAGGUGGACCCUUCAGAUUCUAAGUAAUGAAAACAGUGGAAGCCUGGUUCUGCAAAUUUCAGCUCUUCCUUGUCAUUUGUCCAGAAGCCUAAACGGAAACAGUCUUCCUUCCAGGCCCAUCUAUCACAGCCACAGAGUUACGUAAUAAAACGUCAAAAUAAUGACUUGGAGACACUGUGAAAUGCUACAGUGCCUGCCAAACUUCCAAGAAACAGGUAAGCUUUUAUAAAAAUAAGUAUAUUUUAUGGACUUAUAAUACUUUGAAAAUUGAAAACAAUAUAUAGUUGAGCAUAAUAUUAAAAGUAGCAUCAUGACAUUCUUCAACUAUUUCAGUGAAAGCAGCCUUUUCACACACUAUCUGAGAUCAUUUCAGCUUUCAAAAAUGAUAAGAGUCUGCUUGUAAUUAACACAUAAAUGAUGACUCAAUGACAAUUUAAUUUUUUGUGUAAAAGCAACAUGCACUAGCAUGGAAUUCUCCCUAUUAAAGCCCAAUCUCCUUUGCUGUUAGUUUUCAGAUACUUUCUAAUAUGUAGUAUAAAAAUUUUUGCAUUAUUUUUUAAAAUAAAAAUUGGUUAAUUUUUUUUUCACAACCAAAGCCACAUAUAAGGAAGUUCCUGAUAAAAAUAAAAACAUCUUUUUCAAAUAUUCAUGUUCAUGGUAGGAAUUUUAGAAAACAGAAAAGUAUAAAGCAGAAAAUUAAAACUGUCUAGAUUUCACCAUCCAAAGAUGACUGCUUUUAAUAUUCUUAUACAUUUUGCUUUGGGUUUUAAAUCUUUUUGUUUAGAAAAAAUUUAGAAGGAUAGAAAAGUUGCAAGUAUAGCACAGAAGGUUACCGUAUAUACUUCAGACAGCUUCCCUUAAGGUUAGGGCUUACAUUAUCAUAGUACUGUUACCAAAACUUAGGAAAUCAACAUUGAAACAAUCCUAUUAAUGAAGCCAAAGACUAUUAAAAUUAUCCAGCUUUUUUUUUGUUUUGUUAUUAAUGUCCUUUUACUGUUUCCAGGAUCCUCUUUAGGAUCUCAUGUUGUAUUAGGUGUCAUGUUUCUGACGUGUGAUGAGAUUGACACUUCAGAAGAAGACUACUCAGUUAUUUUAACUUCUUUCUACAAUGGACAGUGGAAAAACUGGCUGUCAUUGUCUACAAUAUAUACCUUUUUAUUGCCUAGCUGCAGUAUACAUAGAAAAUAGUUUCAUUUGUUGUUGGUGUUUUUUUUUUUUUUUUUUUUUUUAAGGGCUGUACUUGAGGC